CCUACGGGAGGCAGCAGUAGGGAAUCUUCGUCAAUGGGCGCAAGCCUGAACGAGCGAUGCCGCGUGAGUGAAGAAGGCCUUCGGGUCGUAAAGCUCUGUUGCGGGGGAAAAAAGGCACCAUCAGGAAAUGGGCGCUGACUGAUGGUGCCCCGCCAGAAAGUCACGGUUAACUACGUGCCAGCAGCUGAGGUAAUACGUAGGGGGCGAGCGUUAGCCGGAAUGAUUGGGCGUAAGGGGUGCGCAGGCGGUCCAGCAAGUCUGGAGUGAAACGUAUGGGCGCAACUCAUGCAUGGCUUUGGAAACUGGAGGACUGGAGAGCAGGAGAGGGAGGUGGAACUCCAUGUGUAGCGGUGAAAUGCGUAGAUAUAAGGAAGAACACCAAUGGCGAAGGCGGCCGACUGGCCUGUUGCUGACGCUGAGGCACGAAAGCGUGGGGAGCAAAUAGGAUUAGAUACCCGUGUAGUC
rnacentral:rRNA from 1 species